GGAUGCGAUCAUACCAGCACUAAAGCACCAGAUCCCAUCAGAACUGCGAAGUUAAGCGUGCUUGGGCGAGGUAGUACUAGGAUUGGUGACCUCCUGGGAAGUCCUCGUGUUGCAUUCC
rnacentral:rRNA from 1 species